rnacentral:rRNA from 1 species
AACGAACGCUGGCGGCAUGCCUAACACAUGCAAGUCGAACGCCCCGCAAGGGGAGUGGCGAACGGGUGAGUAACGCGUGGGAACCUACCCAGCAGUUGGGGAUAACCGCGGGAAACUGCGGCUAAUACCGAAUACGUCCUAAGGGAGAAAGAUUUAUCGCUGUUGGAGGGGCCCGCGUCGGAUUAGCUAGUUGGUGAGGUAACGGCUCACCAAGGCGACGAUCCGUAGCUGGUCUGAGAGGAUGAUCAGCCACACUGGGACUUAGACACGGCCCAGACUCCUACGGGAGGCAGCAGUGGGGAAUAUUGGACAAUGGGGCAACCCUGAUCCAGCAAUGCCGCGUGAGUGAUGAAGGCCUUAGGGUUGUAAGGCUCUUUUACCGGGGACGAUGAUGACGGUACCCGGAGAAUAAGCCCCGGCUAACUUCGUGCCAGCAGCCGCAGUAACAC